UAAAUAAAUAAAAUAGGAACACUGCAAAAUUGUGUUAUGGAGAGUGUAAAUGAUCACAAAAAAGGACAUUCGUAUAUAAAUUAAACAUUCCAAGGACCUUGCUGUAGUACAAAAUCAUAAUCUAAAGGAGAAAGCACAAGAUUAAAACUCGACAAUUCAUCUAGAAUUGAUGUGGGAUUUAUCUCUUAACGAGACGCUCUUAGACAGCCAUAUCUUUAAUGUUAGCUGUUUUCCGAGCAGCUGCCAAGGAAAUUGCACCCAAACAUGCAUGAUAAAAUGCCAAAAUAAGAGGAAACGAUAAGCUGAGCAAUAGAUUUAGUUAUAAGCGCGAAAGCUGUGAGUUUAUUGGAAAGUAAGAAACUGGAAUCGGAGCGCCUUUUGACUUUACUUUGCUCUUCUGUUUCUCUGCAGAAGGAACUUUCUGAGGUCGGACGAUAGCAUCAGAUAUUUGUGAAGAAGAUGAACUACUGAAGCAGCUUAAAAACCCUAAAAACGAACCCAUUUUUUAUCUGUUCUUGGCUAUAUGUAUAAGAAGUUGUGAAUGGCCACUUAUAUAUGGUUGAAGAUAUCUAAGAGAGGCGGUGUGGAAUUUUCUUUUUUUAUUUGAUGAUGAAACAGUG
rnacentral:lncRNA from 1 species